rnacentral:rRNA from 1 species
UCUCCGUGGUGAACCAGCGGAGGGAUCAUUG